AAUAAGGUGGCUGAAUUAGAGGCGGUAAAUUGUAAAUUUACUUAUAAGUUAAACUUUCUUAUUA
rnacentral:tRNA from 1 species